rnacentral:tRNA from 1 species
UCGAGGCUGGCCGGGUCGGGCAGCGGCGCCCGCCCGCCGGUCACGACGUACCACUCGUCGGCCUCGCG